GGGCACGUAGCUCAGGGGAUAGAGUACUAGAUUCCGGUUCUAGUGGUCGAAGGUUCGAAUCCUUCCGUGCUCG
rnacentral:tRNA from 1 species